GUUUAGCGCCUGGAUGGUGUGAUGCAUAGACAUAAUAUAAGGGUAGACGCCGCAUUGGCCGCUCCGGCGCAGGAAAUACGGCGGCCAUCUUAGAGCGGUAUACCCUCGUACUUUGCUGAACCAAAACAACAGAAGAUGCCUCAGUUCUGCUCGGCUUAUUCGUGUUUAAAUCUACGAACUGUUGAUGUCAGGGACCGGGGGAUAACUUUUCACAAGUUUCCAAAAGAUAAAGAGAGGAGGAAGAGGUGGGAAAUAGCUUUGAGGAGGGAUGGAUUCACUGCAAGUGAUUCAUCUGUACUAUGCAGUGAGCAUUUCAAAACGGAGGAUUUUGACAAAACAGGUCAGAUUGUCAGACUGAGAGCUGAUGUGAUACCAUGAAUUUUCAGCUUCCCAGUUCACCUUCAAAGAGUUGAAAACUACAGAACUACAAUAACCUCCACAAAAGCCCAAAGUAGUUCU